GACGAACGCUGGCGGCGUGCCUAAUACAUGCAAGUAGAACGCACAGUUUAUACCGUAGCUUGCUACACCAUACACUGUGAGUUGCGAACGGGUGAGUAACGCGUAGGUAACCUGCCUGGUAGCGGGUGAUAACUAUUGGAAACGAUAGCUAAUACCGCAUAAUAUUCAUUAUUGCAUGAUAAUUGAUUGAAUGAUGCAAUUGCAUCACUACCAGAUGGCCCUGCGUUGUAUUAGCUAGUAGGUGAGGUAACGGCUCACCUAGGCGACGAUACAUAGCCGACCUGGGGGGGUGAACGGGCAAACUGGGAAUGGGACAAGGCCCAGACCCCCACGGGGGGCAGCAGGAGGGAAUCUUCGGGAAUGGGCGAAAGGCUGAACGAGGAACGCCGCGGGAGGGAAGAAGGUUUUCGGGUCGUAAAGAUCUGUUGUAAGAGAAGAAAGGGUGUGAGAGUGGAAAGUUCACACUGUGACGGUAUCUUACCAGAAAGGGACGGCUAACUACGUG
rnacentral:rRNA from 1 species